CACCUACGGGAGGCAGCAGUUGGGAAUCUUGGACAAUGGGGGAAACCCUGAUCCAGCCAUGCCGCGUGAGUGAUGAAGGCCUUCGGGUUGUAAAACUCUUUCGACGGGGACGAUAAUGACGGUACCCGUAGAAGAAGCUCCGGCUAACUUCGUGCCAGCAGCCGCGGUAAUACGAAGGGGGCUAGCGUUGUUCGGAAUUACUGGGCGUAAAGCGCGCGCAGGCGGUCUUCCAAGUCAGUGGCGAAAGCCCGGAGCUCAACUCCGGAACUGCCAUUGAAACUGUUAGACUUGAGGACGAGAGAGGUGAGUGGAAUUCCCAGUGUAGAGGUGAAAUUCGUAGAUAUUGGGAAGAACACCGGUGGCGAAGGCGGCUCACUGGCUCGUAUCUGACGCUCAGGCGCGAUAGCGUGGGGAUCAAACAGGAUUAGAUACCCUGGUAGUCCACGCCGUAAACGAUGAAUGCUAGCCGUUGGGUAGCUUGCUAUUCAGUGGCGCAGCUAACGCAUUAAGC
rnacentral:rRNA from 1 species